rnacentral:lncRNA from 1 species
UUUCUUUCUUUCAAGAAAGGGAGGGUAGGAGAGGAAGAAAGAGAAUUUCAAGCACGUUCUAUAUCCAGUGCAGAGCCCAAUGCAGGGCUCUAUCUCACAACCCUGAAAUAAUGACCUGAGCCAAAAUCAAGAGUUGGAACCUUAACCAACUGAGCUGCCCUGGCACCACACAACCUUUUUAUGAUAAGGAAAUUGAAGCAUAGAGAGAUAAAAUAAUUUUACUAUGGUCAUAAUGCUAAUGGAUGGGAUUGCUGGCAUUUGAACUCAGGCACUCUCCUUUCAUCCCCUGUCCCAUGCGUUAUCUUCUAUGGAAACAAUAGGUAUAAUGGUAAUUAGAAUUGCAACCAGAAAAUAUGUCAGUACUUGUGUCAACCACCUCACUCAAAUUUAGAUAAGGAGAUCCAAGGCAAAUGAAGUCACAUUCCGACUGUUGUUAGAUUUAGUUUACUUUUUCCUUCCUUUCUUUUUUCCUAAUAAUAGACUUGGAAUAAGAUGGUGGCCCCAUGAAAGUGGGGUCACAGGGAUCAUGUCCCACAGUGGAUAGGAGGUCAGCUUUGCCCUCAGUUCACUGACCAGCUACUCCUGAUCAGGGUAUCUUGAUAGUCGCAGAGCCUGGGGAACAUGUCCUCAGAGGCCACUAGAUGUUGAUUUUAUGACUUCACUCCCUUGAAAUUUCCUAGGAAAAAUUGGCUGUCCUGUUAUCACCACAGCUGAAAGGGUCUCUUGGCAUUUCUCUCUUCUGGUGGAUUAACCACAGGGCAGGAUUGGUGAAAGGGGGGGAUAUGAGGUUCAUCUGAGUGGAUUAUGACUCAAGACCAAUGUUUUAUCCUAUUUUAGUUUCUCUAUAGAACCAGUUUAUUUAGGAGUCUAAACUCAUAUGUUUAAAACAGAAAUGUUUAAAAUGUUUUUCUAAUAAUUUUGUCCAACCAGCCUUGUCAAAAUUUACCAGAGUGGCUCAAUCAUUAUUGAUAUCUUUGUCAAAUUUUAUAAUUCUUUGGGCAUUCUUGUUUUAGAAUAGUCUCAUUUUUAUAUUUAAGGCUCAUUCACUCCUGUUCAUUUCCAAACUUCUACCUCAAAAGUCAUUCCAAGCUUUUUUCCCCCCUCAUCCUCUUAGUACCAACUAGACCUAUCUUGGUUCUUGGGGUUUAUGAGGUUAAAUGUGGUUUGUACAAGUGUGAUUGAAAGCAGUUUUGAUUCCUCCGACAAGAUCAGAUUUGAUUUAAUAGGGGACAUACCAGACCACAUGGCUCUGUGAAUUGUACUGGCUUCUCCUCCCCCCACCCCUCAUUUCCACCAUCCAUACCAAAGAUGCUCCUUCCCAUAUCUCUUGAUCCUGGGAUUAUCCUUUUCUUCAGGUUAACUGUCUUUGAUCUGGUAUCAGCAACAUGACCCAAACCUAGUUAUUUUGUCUAGAGUCUGUUUGACCUGUUAGAAACAUACACAUCUUUGUCUAGUCAAAUGGUGGAUGUGGUCAUUCCACUAUGAAGACCUCCCUCCAUCUUGCCAUCACCCUGAAGUUUCUCUUUCUCUUGCUCAAUUAAGAGGGGGCAGAUUAGACCUCUACUGAUUAGACCUCAUCAGAUAAGCUGAUGUUCAACCAGGGAAUGAAAUACAACUCACCCCUUCUUGUAGUCUUCCCAAACCUUUAUAGCUGAUUCUCUUGGGGUCUUACCCUUGGUUUUGGAAAAAGGAAGAAAAUGGCUUCUUUUCAUAAACACUGUAUUAGUCAAAAAGCCAAGGACUUCUUUACCCCUUAAACUUUUUCUUAUAGUCAUUGGGUGCAGGAUGGGGUGGGAAAGUAGGAUUGGCUCUGAACUGGUUGCCUCUCAAAGGCCCUGAGGUGAAUAGAUAACCCCAACUGAUGGCAGCUCUCUGAAUGUGGGGUGCUUAAUGUCUCUGGUUAAUUCCAGGACACAGGAAAAACUUCAUUCGAUGUUCCAUUACAUAUAAUUGCAUGUUUUAAUAGUUUGGGGUAGAAUUUACUCGAGUUAUUUUUCAGCAAUAAAAGAUCACAUUAUUAAGAUCUCUGUGCUUAUUAUGAGACCCAACAUCCAUUCUUCCCAUCCUCCUUGCUAGCAGAAUCAUGAUGUUUUUCAUGAAGAAAUACUUCUUUCUUCUCUCUCUCACAUUAUUUUUCUGGAUCAUUUAAGAGUAAGAAACAAACAUGAUGUUUCUUCAUUCUUAAAUAUUUCAGUGUAUAUUGUCUUAACUCAAGGAAUUUUCCUAUAAAACCACAGGACAAUUAUCAAAACCAGCAAAUUAACAUUGAUAAUAUAUUAUUCUCUAACCUAUAAACCUUAUAUGCAUUUUGUCAAUUGGCCCAAUGUUAUGCUUUACAGCAAAAGAAAAUCCAAGACAUUUAAUUGUCAUGUUUAUUUAGUGACAAUUUUUAAUCUGCAACUGUUCCUGAGUCUGUCUUUGUUAUUUCAUGACAUUGACCUUUUUUAGGAGUAUAGGCUGGUGAGUUUGCAGACUGUCCCCAGUUUCAAUUUGGCUGGUGUUUCCUGGUAAUCAGAUUCAGAGAGUACCUGUUGGUUAGGCCCAUUGGGCAGAGCUCAAUUUCUUUAAAAAAAAAAAAAAAAAAAAAAAGAUUGGGGCAGCCUGAGUGGUUCAGCCUCGCUCUCGCUCUCGUUCUCGCUCUCGUUCUUGCUCUCGCUCUGCGUGUGUGUGUCAUGAAUAAAUAAAUAAAAUCUUAAAAAAAAACAAACAAACAAACAACAAAGGGCAGCCAGAGUGGCUCAGCAGUUUGGCACUGCCUUUGGCCUAGGGCGUGAUCCUGGAGACCCGGAAUCAAGUCCCGCAUCAGGGUCCAUGCAGGGACUCUCCCUCUGCCUGUGUCUCUGCCUCUCUCUCUACUCUCUGUGUUUCUCAUGAAUAAAUAAAUAAAAUCUUUAAAAAAAAAGAUUGAUUUUAGAGAAGCAAUGUGCGGGGGGAGGGGCAGAUGGAGAGGGAGAAAGAGAAGGAAUCUCAAGCAGACUCCCUACUAAGUAUAGAGCUCCAAGUGGGACUCGAUCCCAUGACCCUGAGAUCAUGCCCUGGGUUGAAAUCAAGAGUCGGAUGCUUAACCAACUGAGCCACCUAAGAGCCCAGAGAAUUUGCAUUUCUAAUAAAGUCUCCAAAUGUUGCUGAAGAAACUCUUGAAGGGACCACACUUUAAGAACCACUGUUUCAAAGCAAAGAUUUGGUAACUUUGGGAAGUAAGAUACUUUGAGUUUCUGAUUUAAAAAAAUAUUUAUCGGGAUCCCUGGGUGGCGCAGCGGUUUGGUGCCUGCCUUUGGCCCAGGGCCUGAUCCUGGAGACCCGGGAUCGAAUCCCACGUCAGGCUCCCGGUGCAUGGAGCCUGCUUCUCCCUCUGCCUGUGUCUCUGCCUCUCUCUCUCUCUCUCUGUGUGUGUGACUAUCAUAAAAAAUAUAUAUAUAAAUAUAUUUAUCAUUUCCUUCCCCAAACUACAUAUACCUAUAAAAUUUUGCAUUCAAUCUUUAGGAUCUACAGAAUUUCCACUCCAGGCUAAUCCAUAGAUGUUCUAGGAAUCCUUGAGGAUCUUUAGAGGCUGGUUGUAUUAUUUGGGGAAACUCAAGUAUUAAAAUGAGGAUUUGCAAUCUUAGGAGGCUACAGUAACCUGAGAAUGCAUAUUCAAUUCUUUCAUUCAUUGCUUUAGCCAGCAAAGGUUUCUCAAGCUCUUGCAGGUGGCAAGUAUUGUAUGAGGUGAUGAGAAUAAAAUCCUAGCCUCUACAGAGGUCACAAAUGACCACCCUGUGUGGCCUACACCACACAUGCAAGUAACAGAGAUGUGACAUGGACCUAUAGGCAACUGUACCCUUCAUGAUAAUUACAAUCUCAGGGAGAGGAACAGGUUAAACCUUUCCACUCAAGGCCCUGCCAAGUCCAAGGGGCAACCCCAUCCAUUUUUUAGUUCAAGGCCGAUAGUCCCAUUUCCAGGUUGUGUGCUUAUUUCAGCCCUUGUUCUAUGACAUGUGUGACUGGUCUUUCCUUAUGAAGUUCCUUCUGUGUUUGAUCCUGGUAUUGUGAGGUCAAACCAACGAAGCACUUAAACAAGAGGGCUAUGGAAAGUUUCACAGAGAAAAUGGUGUUAAAACCAAGAUCUCAUUGAUGAAGAGGAAUUAGUUAAGCCAAGGGACAUGGGAAGGGGGUAAUUGUGUUCCAUACAGUGAGAUGGUAUAUCAGAAAGCCUUAUGACAAAAUUCAGGUUAAAGCAUUUGGACUGUUUCCUUAAAAAAGAAAGAAAAGAAAAGAAAGAAAAGAAAAGAAAAAGAAGAAAGAAAGAAAG